GACGAACGCUGGCGGCAUGCCUAAUACAUGCAAGUCGAGCGAACAGGUGAAGUGCUUGCACUUCUGACGUUAGCGGCGAACGGGUGAGUAACACGUAAGGAAUCUACCUAUAAGCGGAGGAUAACAUUCGGAAACGGGUGCUAAUACCGCAUAAUAUCUUCUUCCGCAUGGAAGAAGAUUGAAAGACGGCUCUGCUGUCACUUAUCGAUGACCUUGCGGUGCAUUAGUUAGUUGGUGGGGUAAUGGCCUACCAAGACGAUGAUGCAUAGCCGACCUGAGAGGGUGAUCGGCCACAUUGGGACUGAGACACGGCCCAAACUCCUACGGGAGGCAGCAGCAGGGAAUCUUCCGCAAUGGGCGAAAGCCUGACGGAGCAAUGCCGCGUGAGUGAAGAAGGCCUUCGGGUCGUAAAACUCUGUUAUAAGAGAAGAACAAAUUGUAGAGUAACUGCUACAGUCUUGACGGUAUCUUAUCAGAAAGCCACGGCUAACUACGUGCCAGCCGCCGCGGUAA
rnacentral:rRNA from 1 species